GGGGCUGUAGUGUAGUUUGGUCUAGCACCCGAGACUGGGGGUCUCGUAACCUGGGUUCAAAAUUUCUUAUGAAAAUCCCAGCAGCCCCA
rnacentral:tRNA from 1 species